rnacentral:rRNA from 1 species
UACGGAGGGUGCAAGCGUUGUUCGGAAUUACUGGGCGUAAAGAGCUCGUAGGUGGUUUGUCGCGUUGUUCGUGAAAACUCACAGCUCAACUGUGGGCGUGCGGGCGAUACGGGCAGACUUGAGUACUGCAGGGGAGACUGGAAUUCCUGGUGUAGCGGUGGAAUGCGCAGAUAUCAGGAGGAACACCGGUGGCGAAGGCGGGUCUCUGGGCAGUAACUGACGCUGAGGAGCGAAAGCGUGGGGAGCGAACAGG